AUCCAGUGGUGAAGAACAGACUGCAAUGAAAGCGUAGACGAUCUAGUGGUGAAGAACAACGACGGCGAAUCAGUUAAAGCAUCAUCGUGUCGGGAAAAAGAGAGGAGAUGAAGAUGAUCUCUAUAUGGUGGUGAACGAAAUGAAUGUGUAUCAGCCUGUCUAAAAAAAGAAGAAUUGAAGAAGAUGAAUUCGCCGUCUAUACUAUAUUUCGUGAAAUGAAUAGUAUAGUAUAUAUUUUUAAGUAUAGCUACUUAUGUACGGUUACCAUACUAUUUGAGACAUAUUUCUAUACUACUCCUUAAAAAUGUAAUAAUAUAUCAUGUUUUUAAAUUUGAUAGGUCUCUUCUUUGUCAAUUUGUGUGAUUGAUUGUAAUAUGAAAUUCAUUUUUCGAGUGUUGGACAAAUUUGAUUAUUUGGAACAUUCGUUAAGUAUACUACUUAGACUAUAUGGAAUAUAAGAUAUGCAAUAUGCUAACCAAGUAAAUGUGAUUUCAAGUGUUAAAUAUUGGAAAACAAUGUAUAUAUUGUAUUUGGGUUUAUAGGUUCCUGCCUAGGGUUUAGAUUUACUAAGUAAAGGUUUGGGUAUAGUAAACCAUAUUAUAUACAUUCUAUUUGGGUUUAUACUUCCUUGAUUAGGGUUUAGCUUAAUCUAUUUAUUUAGGUUUAGGGUAUAUUUGGAUUAGGGUUUAGUGAUUAGAAUGUAAGGUUUAGUAUUUAGAAGGUGAGAGGGUAUGGUUGGGAUGAACAUUAACUUCUUUCAUGCAAUCAUAGAUAUUUUAUAGUUUCACCAAUAUGUACUAUGUUAUUUAUUUUGUUCCAUUCUAUUUGGGUUUUGUGUUUAUAUUUGGGUUUAGGGUUUAUAUUUGAGUUAGGGUUUAGUGAUUAGAGUUUAGGGUUUAGAUUUACUAAGUAAAUGUUUGGGUAUAGUAAACCAUAUUAUAUAUAUUCUAUUUGGGUUUAUAUUUUCUUGAUUAGGGUUUAGCUUAAUCUAUUUAUUUCAAGUAAAUGUGCUUUCAAGUGUUUAAUAUUGGAAAAUAAUUUAUAGAUUGUAUUUGGGUUUAUAGGUUCAUGCCUAGGGUUUAGAUUUACUAAGUAAAGGUUUCGGUAUAGUAAACCAUAUUAUAUACAUUCUAUUUGGGUUUAUACUUCCUUGAUUAGGGUUUAGCUUAAUCUAUUUAUUUAGGUUUAGGGUUUAGGUUAUAUUUGGAUUAGGGUUUAGUGCCUAUAAUUUAGGGUUUAGUAUUUAGAAGGUGAGGAGGUAUGGUUGGGAUGAUCAUUAACUUCUUUCAUGCAAUCAUCGAUAUUUUAUAGUUUCACUUAUAUGUACCAUGUUAUUUAUUUUGUUCCAUUCUAUUUGGGUUUUGUGUUUAUAUUUGGGUUUAGGAUUUAUAUUUGAGUUAGGGUUUACUAAUUAGAGUUUAGAUUUUAGUGAUAUGAACCCGUCAGUGUCGUAGUGUCAGUCUAUUCUAUUCAAUAAUUGAAUAAUAAAACAUUCAUAUAACCUUGCUACUAAACUCCUCUGAAUUAUUGAACGAGAACUAAGUUUAGUUCCUCGUAUACUCUAAAAGUACUAUACUAUAUCCACCGUGUAGUAUAGUAUUAUGAACCUGGAUAAUGUCAUUAUUUGAAAACGGGGAAAACUGUUUAUAUCUCGGAUGUGGGUUGACAUUUCCAGGUUAGAGUUUAGUGUUAUCAUCUGGGUGGGGGUUUCAAUAACUCACCCUCGUUGCUCCUUUACUUGUAUUAGUGAUAUGAACUCAUCCAUGUCGUAGUGUCAGUCUAUUCUAUCCAAUAAUAUGGUAAUUAAACAUCCAUAUAACCUUACUACUAAAGUUUACUUCACAGUACACUGUAAACGUACUAUACUAUAUCCAUUAUAUAGUAUAGUGGUAUGAACCUGGGUACAUUUGAUAUUUGAAAACGUGAGAAACUGUUUAUAUGUUGAAUGUAGGUUGACAUAUCCAGAUUAGGUUAGAGAUAUUCAAUUUUUUAAGGAAUAGUACGUAAUAUAUUGUAACUUUACCAUAUUACAUCAUCUACACAUUUGUCAACAUUUAUUCUUUAAUGGAGAACAACAUCAUUAUAUUUACACAAAUGAAUGGACUACAUUAUUUAUCAAACUAUUGUUUUUCUAUUAUCCUCUAUAUAUUUACUGAAACAAUAAAACAUAUGUGGUUUGUAUGUGUAUGAUGUGACCUUAUUUAAUUUGGCUUAUGUGGUUUGUAUGUGUGUGAUGUGGCCUCAUUAUUAGCCAUAUUUAAUUUAAGUGAUGUGGUAUUACCUUCUUCCUUUCACCUGCUACUUGUUCGAGAGAAGGUUAUAACCGGAUCAAAAGAGGUAUAAUUGUUACUUACUUAAUUAUGUCAAAAUCAUAAGCAUGCACUUUAUUUCACUUAUGAUUUAGGUUAUUCAGCAAAUAAGCCCUUGUUUGUUUUGGCUAUAUUUACUAGUUAUUCGAAAUUGUAAAUAUAUAUUGUAUACUUAAUUGAUUUGUAUCGCUAUUUUGGCCCUUUUUGGUUGAAUUCAGUUUUGAAUUGAGCAACCUAGUGUAAAUAAAGCACAAAAGCUCGUACACCACAGAUUGGGCUGCAAGUCUGGCAUCACCUUACUAAAGGGAUUCUACAAAGCUCAUACACCACAGAUUGGGCUGCAGUUGUUGUUCUGAUCUCUGAUAUGACACGAUGGCAAGGCCUGAGAUAUGCGUUUCAAGCCACCAUGUAUGCGGUCUGGAGAGAGCGCAAUAAACGUAGACAUGGUGAGCAGGGUUUACCACACCAAGUCCUGAUCAAACUCACGGACAAAGUAAUCUGGAACAAGCUCAGCUUAGUGCAGUCUAAAGGCGUAAAGGGCAGGGCCGGGUCUGAGAAAUAUUGGCCCACAAGCAAAAAAAUAUUUUUGACCCUUUGUUUCUAAAAAGUAGUGAUAAUAUUAUAAGAUGCGGUUGCGGAAAAUCGAACACGGAUCCAUCUAUAAUUUCGUUAGGCCCCAAGCCAAUAGAGCUACAUGUUCUUUAUGAAAAAUAAUUGGUCCUAAAACGCCUAUAUUUUCGUCGGGCCCCAAACACAAGCUUGAUGGGCUUCUAUUCAGACCCGGUCCGGCCUUGGUAAAGGGGUUAGAAACUAUCUUGUAAUACUGGUUCGGAACUAGAUUGUAAAUAUUCUUCAUGGGGUUAUGUAGGUUUGAAGCUAUAGAAAUGUUAAAGGAGUAGGAGUAGAAUCUAUUGUUCCUAGCAAAGACACACAUGUACAAAUGCUUUUUUGAUGAAUAAUAAAUUUAACAUUCAUUCAAAAAAAAAACACACAAAAGAAUGACUUCAGUUGACGGUAACUGAAGUUUUGUUAUAUUCUAUACAAUGUACCUUUUCACUUUGACAGAGUGGGAAUAUCCCCUCAUUUACAUACGUUUACUUUAACCCAUGGUAACGUUUCAAGGGAACAGUGGAACACUACCGAAACAGUAAAAAUAUAUCAACAAAGAAACCCAAAAAUGACAAAUAAUGCGUCAAGUUGUAAGAAAAUAAUCAAAAAGGUUUGUUGAUACGAAGAACUGAUCUGGUAGUGACCACCCCUUCAGGCCUUCACGGAUACCUAAUCAACAAGAUUAAUUUGUAACUAAUAGUAAAGUUUUACGCGUGAGUUCAAUAUCUGUCUAGUGUAGGCAAUGAAAUAAUGUAUCUAAAAAGUAAAAAAUAAAAAGUUACUACAUAGUUGUUUCAAAAAAAAAAAAAAAAAAAAAAGUUACUACAUAGCUUUGUAGUUUAACUUAAACUCUAGAAUAUGUGAGUUUUAUUUUGGAUUAGUGAUAAGGGUUUCCGGAGGUAGAAACAUGUUAUAUGUUAAAUUGUAUGUCGUAGUGUAUAAUGUGAAUAUAGCUUAUCGAUAUACGAACUCACUUAACACUGGUAAGAUUAUCAUUCUUUUUAACGAAUGUAAUAGAUAAAAGUUUGUAGUAUAAUUGGUCUAUUCUAGUACCAAAACAUGUAAUUCAGACUAUAAACUAAUAAUGUGCGUGACAGUUCGUAGGAUGAAAAAAGGAAAAACAUAUAAAUAAGUUAAAAGUUCGUUUUCUCUAACUAAUUAUAUUUCUCUUUUGUAGAAAUGCAUUUGAACAACUAUAUUAUAUAUGAUACCUAGUUUAGGUUUAAAGAUUACCGAAAGUUGCUAAUCAUAGUGAGACAAUUAACAAUUUGUUCAAAAAAAAAAAGUGAGACAGUUAACAAAUUCAGACAAAUUGGUAUUUUAAUAUGCUUUAUGAUAAAAUCAGUUGCAAAAAAAAAUGCUUUAAGAUGGUAGAAAAAGAAACAUCAAAUGCGUCUUAUCAAAGACACCAUUCCAACAAGUAGCUAUUCCUAGACCUCUAGUGUCAUAGCUUAUGAAAUAUACGAACUUGAACGUAAGAAAUUGUCUUAAGGUAUAGGCAGAAUCUCUCAAAUUUGACAUGAAUUUAUUAUUAUUGUUAAUUUUAUUAAAUACUUUUAUUUUUUUCAAUUUUGAGGUAUUCAUAAUUAAAUAUUAAUAUAUAUAUGUCAAUUUUCUCAAAUAGAUCUUUAAAUUUUUGUCACAAAAAUAGCACUUAAAAAAUAAAAUGACCAAAAUAGUACUUUUUUGUUUUGAAAAUUUUAAUUUUAAUUUUUUAUUUUUUAAAAUUUGAAACUCUAUUCCAAAACUUCACCCCUUAACUCUAAACUCUAAGGGCAACAUUAUCGGUGAUGGGGGUAGAGUUCUUACGCGUGAGCCCCACCAUCUUUUCCCAAAGCCUGUGCCAAAAUGUCCUUAAUUAACAUACGUUUGCACUGCGUUUGUUAGACUGUUUGCGGGCUCCACUGAAGCGUGGCGGCCCGCAACUGGUUUAUCUUUUUUUUUUUUUUUUUUUUUUAAAAAUCAGAAAAAGGAAAAGAAAAAAAAAACUUAAGAAUCCCAAAAACCUUUUCCACCGAAAAUGUUACUCUAAGUCAGAUUAGUUAACUCUUGGGUAUAAAUACAUAUUUACCUUUUAAUAAAAUUUAUUUUGGUCAUUUUCUUUUUUGAGAUUUAUUUUUGUAAAAAAUAAACUAAAAAAGCUAUUUAAUGGAAUUUUUUAUAUAUAUAUUACAUAUACAUGUGUUUUGAGAAUCCAUCAUUGGGGUUGCCCUAUAAAUUUGGGAUUAAGGAAGGAGAGGGUGAAAUUGGUGACAAAGAUCAUCUUAUACUUCAAUCACACUUUUUCUCUUCUUCUUUUUGCUUUCGGCUCCCUUCUUUUAUGCCUUUUCUUUUUUUUGGUAAAAACCCUUUUUUUAUGUUCCUACUUUUUUUUUUUUUUGCCUCUUUAAGUUUCUUAACCAACUAUAAACGUUUUAAGUGAUGGAGAUUUAUUUAGAUGUAUCAAAUAGGACACAAAAACUAUAAAGUGUAAUAAGUUUACAACAUUUUUAUAUAGAGAUGGUAUAAUUGAUUUCCCAUAUUAGUGGAGAGUGUAAGACCCGAUCCUGGAUUCCUCAAUCCAACCAGACCGCGGCCUCACCAAACAAUGCAACCAAUUCCAUCUUUCAUAUUCAAGUUCAAGUGUUAAAUAAUUCUAAGUCUUUUUCAGAGUUUUGAGGUUCCAACAUUCACACUUAAACAAUCAAGCAUCAACUAAUGAAAAUAGAUACUUCAUAGAUAUUAACCAAGGUUCAUACAUCAUUCAUCAUCCUAAAUAAUAGAAUACAUACUA